rnacentral:rRNA from 1 species
AUUGAACGCUGGCGGCAGGCCUAACACAUGCAAGUCGAGCGGAUGACGGGAGCUUGCUCCUUGAUUCAGCGGCGGAUGGGUGAGUAAUGCCUAGGAAUCUGCCUGGUAGUGGGGGACAACGUUUCGAAAGGAACGCUAAUAACGCAUACGUCCUACGGGAGAAAGCAGGGGACCUUCGGGCCUUGCGCUAGCAGAUGAGCCUAGGUCGGAUUAGCUAGUUGGUGGGGUAAUGGCUCACCAAGGCGACGAUCCGUAACGGGUCUGAGAGGAUGAGCAGUCACACUGGAACGGAGACACGGUCCAGACUCCUACGGGAGGCAGCAGUGGGGAAUAUUGGACAAUGGGCGAAAGCCUGAUCCAGCCAUGCCGCGUGUGUGAAGAAGGUCCUCGGAUUGUAAAGCACUUUAAGUUGGGAGGAAGGGCAGUAAGCUAAUACCUUGCUGUUUUGACGUUACCGACAGAAUAAGCACCGGCUAACUCUGUGCCAGCAGCCGCCGUAA